UACGUAGGGCGCAAGCGUUAUCCGGAAUUAUUGGGCGUAAAGAGCUCGUAGGCGGUUUGUCGCGUUGUUCGUGAAAACUCACAGCUCAACUGUGGGCGUGCGGGCGAUACGGGCAGACUGGAGUACUGCAGGGGAGACUGGAAUUCCUGGUGUAGCGGUGGAAUGCGCAGAUAUCAGGAGGAACACCAACGGCGAAGGCAGCUCGCUGGGACGGUACUGACGCUAAGGCGCGAAAGCGUGGGGAGCAAACAGG
rnacentral:rRNA from 1 species